rnacentral:rRNA from 1 species
GACGAACGCUGGCGGCGUGCCUAAUACAUGCAAGUAGAACGCACAGUUUAUACCGUAGCUUGCUACACCAUAAACUGUGAGUUGCGAACGGGUGAGUAACGCGUAGGUAACCUGCCUGGUAGCGGGGGAUAACUAUUGGAAACGAUAGCUAAUACCGCAUAAUAUUGAUUAUUGCAUGAUAAUUGAUUGAAAGAUGCUAUUGCAUCACUACCAGAUGGACCUGCGUUGUAUUAGCUAGUAGGUGAGGUAACGGCUCACCUAGGCGACGAUACAUAGCCGACCUGAGAGGGUGAUCGGCCACACUGGGACUGAGACACGGCCCAGACUCCUACGGGGGGCAGCAGUAGGGAAUCUUCGGCAAUGGACGAAAGUCUGACCGAGCAACGCCGCGUGAGUGAAGAAGGUUUUCGGAUCGUAAAGCUCUGUUGUAAGAGAAGAACGGGUGUGAGAGUGGAAAGUUCACACUGUGACGGUAUCUUACCAGAAAGGGACGGCUAACUACGUG